rnacentral:rRNA from 1 species
UAAUACGUAGGGUCCGAGCGUUGUCCGGAAUUAUUGGGCGUAAAGGGCUCGUAGGCGGUUUGUCGCGUCGGGAGUGAAAACACCGGGCUUAACUCGGUGCUUGCUUCCGAUACGGGCAGACUAGAGGUAUGCAGGGGAGAAUGGAAUUCCUGGUGUAGCGGUGAAAUGCGCAGAUAUCAGGAGGAACACCGGUGGCGAAGGCGGUUCUCUGGGCAUUACCUGACGCUGAGGAGCGAAAGUGUGGGGAGCGAACAGGAUUAGAUACCCUGGUAGUCCACACCGUAAACGUUGGGCGCUAGGUGUGGGACCUAUUCCAUGGGUUCCGUGCCGUAGCUAACGCAUUAAGCGCCCCGCCUGGGGAGUACGGCCGCAAGGCUAAAACUUAAAUGAAUUGACGG